UCCAAUUUCCCCAUUCACACAAAUCAAAACCAGUGAAUAAAGCAUUCAGUUGAAACUAAAAUUAGAAUUUACAAUUCAAUCACAUAACAACACCAAGACACAAUUUAGGGAUUUAUGCAAUUGGGUUCUCUCACAAGAAAUAUAGUGGAGAUAAUUGCCCAGUGUGAUGGUAUUCAAUUGGCGUCUUCGUCUUUGCCGUCGUGCACUGAUUGGCGUCUUCGUGUGCACCGAUUGACGGAUCAUCUCUUUUGUUUUUAGGAGCGGUUUAGUACACAUUAUCAUCUUUAAUCUAGGCAACUGGAUUAAUCCAACGGUAAAGGUUUAUGCAGCAGACAUAGCGGUAGACAAUUUUGCAGCUGUGGAUCCAAAUCGCUAUAAAUCAUCCGAAACUUCGACCGUUGCUUCAAAAAUUGGGUUUUUUUUCACUCUCAUUCUCUCAUUCCUAUUCAUUCAUUCAUUCUACAAUCAUAGAAGAUAACAACACUCUUAGAUUCUACCACCAAGAAUCAAUCAUACAAAAAAUCAACAACAACAACUUUUUGAUUCGACCGUUGCUUCAAAAAUAGGGUUUUUCAUUCUUAUUCUCUCAUUCCUAUUCAUUCAUUCUACAAUCACAGAAGAGAACAACAGUCUUUGAUUCUACCACCAAGAAUCAAUCAUACAAAAAAUCAACAACAACAACAACAAGAGUUUUGCAAUGGCUUCAAGAAUUGUUCCUCAACAACAACCCAGAGGUGUGUGUUUUCUUCAAUCAUACUAAUUUUGAUGUUUCAUUAAUUUUUCUGUGGUUCAAUGUUUUGUUCCAAGAUUGGAACUUUAUUUGAUGUUUCAUUCAUUUUUCUGGGGUUUAAUGUUUUGUUCCAAGAUUGGAACUUUAUUUGAUGUUUCAUUAAUUUUUCUGUGGUUCAAUGUUUCGUUCCAAGAUUGGAACUUUAGUUUCAUGUUUUAAGGGUUUUGUCCAAAAUCCAACAAAAGGGUCUUGAUUUUUUUUCUGGAUUUUUUGUUUGGAUCUGAGAUUUUGGGUUUAAUUAUUUUGCCAUUGGGGGAGGGAAACCGGUGAAAGAGAACGGUGCAGCAGCUUAAGAAAGGAACCGAAGAGCACUUCUUGAUAUUGGAAAUGUUGUCACUCUAAAAGGUGUUGAAGUCAAGCCAAAUCGCCUUGUCACAAGGAGUUUUUGUGCACAACUACUUGCCAAUGCUCAAGCAGCAGCAGUUAAUGAGAAUAACAAGUGUGUUACAGGGGAGAGGGCCUAUAAAUGUAUGGUUUACUAUGGAACCCAUGGCAGCCAGAGGUUCAAAUACUUAGCUUGGGAUUUUGGAUAGUGUCAGAGUUUACAGGGGCGAGAGCCUAUAAAUGUAUAUGUAUCGGGAAUGUAAGUACGAGUGAAGCAAGGAUGAGGAAUUCCCUACAACUUAGUUUGGCACAAGAAUCUGCACUUUCAUUUUGGUUAUCUCUACUCUGAUUAUGAAUUCUUCACGUUUGUUUGUAUUUUUUGAGGAUCUGUUUUUUUAUUACAAGGACCUGUUUUUGCUUUGGUGUUACAGGGGAGAGAGCUAUGAUUGUACUGUGGGAUUUGGAAGCUUUGAGCCUUUGGAUUCUACGGUGUGGUUCGUCAAAAUAAUGAUCUUCUUUCAUCAUAGCAUGGAGCCUCAAGUUUUGGACCGGAGGGAGUAUCUCAUGUUUGAUCUUCCUGUUAUAUAUUCUGAGAUAUGGAAUCUGAAAAUCAAGUUCUUCGGCAACAGUCUCUGUGAAAACGAUGUCAGAGCACCUUUCUACCCAUGUAUAUGAGAAGAAGUUGGAAAAUGGUCAUCAUUUGGUAGAAGAUCAGAAAGCUAUUGAAACACAGACCGACACACCUGUGAAAAAGUCAACAUGAAAAUGUUGAUUCCCUUAUCAAUUGUGUUAUGAAAAAUAUUGGAUUCCAUCAUGGAAAGCCUAUUGCUGCAUUCACCAUUUACAAAUGCCUUCUCCACUGGAAAUCAUUUGAAGCUGAAAGGACAAGUGUAUUUGAUCGCUUUAUCCAGAUGAUUGGUUCUGCAAUUGAGUUAGAAAACCACCAAAUCCAACAUCCCUAUUUGGCAGAACGACUAUGGGUUUUCGGUCAUCUCCUUCGUCUGCCAACCUUCCUACCCCAUCGGAGGUUGUACGCAAAGUAGAGGCUAAGUAUCCUGCUUUGCUUUUCAAGCAACAGCUCACAACCUACGCGGAGAAAAUAUAUGGUAUCUUGUGGGACAACUUGAAGAAAGAGUUGGCAUCAUUUAUUUCGUUAUGUAUCCAGGUUCCUCCUGUCCUAGUCCAAAAGAUCUUCUCUCAAACAUUUUCAUAUAUUAAUGUUCAACUCUUCAACAGAACCGGUUGAGGUUAGAAGACCACGAUACUGCACCAGAACUAACAUAAAAACAUAUCCGGUCCUAAAAGCAACCUUGGCUCCUGAUGUUGAGUGUGGUUCGUCAAAAUAAUGAUCUUCUUUCAUCAUAUCAUGGAGCCUCAAGUUUUGGUUUGCAUAUUUAUUUUUAAAGCAUAUAUUUUAAUGAUAUUUUAUUUCCUCCGGUGUUGCACGGAUGAUAAUACUUUUCUUUCUCAUGUUUGAUCUUCCCAUUUUGUAUUCUGAUUCUUUUUUUUUUUUUAGGUCUUUUGAUUGAGGUUUGAUUUGGUUCUGACUUUGAUACAUGUUAAUCGAAAAACGACGUUUUCUGUAGUGCAUUAUGUUUUGAAACAAUAACAUUUGAUUAGUAUCAAGCCACGAGUUUAUUUUGGUACCUCUCCUUUGAAUGGGAAUUAUUUUCGUUACUUUUUUUAUCUGGACGAUUCUUGUUGUCUAGUCUUCUGGAUUUGCUCCUCUAUGAUUUACCAUUACGACUUAUUCUUUCUUAUUAAUGUUGAAAACUAUGCAUGAUUUAAGAUUUUUUAUUUUGUUUUUGUUUUCGUGUUUUGGGAGAGCUUGGUGGGCCUAUCUUUGUUAUACUGAUUUCUGACUUGGUUUGAAGAACUAUGGUACUGUUCUUUCUUCUUGGUUCUUUUUCUACAAUCUGUUUGUUACAGCCUAAUAUUAAUUUUCUUGUGGUGUUAACAGAGUAAGAUUUACACGGGUUUUGUAUACCACAAAAGUUUUCUGCUUUUUCAAACACCGAACCUUUUGAAUCACCGUCUUAAGUGUCUUAUGUGGAGGAAUCAACCUUACACGUGAACUAUAAUGUUCAGUUGGUUGUGUUGCAUAUUUUUUCUAGGCUUUAAUUUGGUGAUCUGUACUCAUAUUUGAAUUCUUCACAUUUCAUUAUAGUUGUUUCAGCAUCCACACUUGAUUCCUUUGUGAAAGCUUAAGGUGAGGUUAUCAUAUUCUUCCAGUGUUGAAGUUUUUGCGAGUUUCUGUAACGUUUAAACUCAGUGGUUAACAUACAAAAUUCUGGUGUAACUCUUCCCUUCCCAAGGUAAGGAUUUUCAACAACUUGGUUAGGUGGUGUUUGUUAUCAUGACCUGUUUCAUUGGCCCACAAACUCCUCUGGUAUUGAAGUAGGCUUAGUAAGCUUAAAUUGUGACGUUUCAUAUUGACCACACCAUGAUAUUAAAUUGAUAGUGAGGAUAUGAUGUUGAUCGAUAGUAAAUUCUUGUUGUUUCCAUCUUUAGCAUUUCUGAGAGCAUAUAGUUCAUGAUUUGUUAUUUAUUCUUAGGUGUUGCCGGAGAGGAUAUGAUUUUUAUUUAAGUCUUGAUAUGUUUUUCUCAAAAUCAAACUUCUCUUGACUCUUCUUUUACUCAUCAAGAUUUUGUUUUGUAUAAUUUUUUGAUAUAAUUCUUUGUUUGGUAAUCGAAAGAUAUGUUUAUCCGUUUUGCAGCGGGCAAGAGCUUUCGAUGUCUAGAAUGCAUUCAUAAAAUGGACAAGAGCACACAGCCAAUAGUUUUAAUUUGGUGAUCUCUAGUAAAUUCUUUUUGUUUCAAUCUUUAUCGAUUCUGAGAGCAUAAAUUUCAUGAUUUAUUAUUUAUUCUUAGGUGUUGCUGGAGAGGAUUUGAUUUUGAUUUACGUCUGGAUAUGCUCUUAGAAUUUCACACAAUCAAACUUCUCUUGACUCUUCUUUUACUCAUCAAGAUUUUGUUUUGUAUAAUUUUUUGAUAUAAUCCGUUGUUUGAUAAUCGAGAGAUGUGUUUAUCCGUUUUGCAGUGGGCUAUGAAGUUUCGAUGGAAUGCCUUGAUAAAAUAGACAAGAACAUGGAGCAUAAAGUUUUAAUUUGGUGAUCUCUAGUAAAUUCUUUUUGUUUAUCCAUUGCAGCGAGCUGAUUUCUGGAUAUCUCGAACAAUUUGGGAUUAUAAUGAAUAAGAACGAUAAUAGCUACUACAGAUGCAUAAUCAAAUUUACUACAGAUGUUUCAAUAACUCCAUCGCUUGCGAAUGCAUAUUUUCUUGAUAUCUAUGAAUCAGCAUGUGUAGUGUGUUUUGAAACAAUAACAUUAUAAGCAGCAUCAAGCCUCAGGUUUAUUUUGCUACCAUGUACUUGGGUUGUGAACUAUUUUUAUUUUCAUUUCUAUUCUUAUUGUCUAGUCGAUUUACUUCUUGGUCUAUGUUUGGCUUUUUUAUCUGAUUUCUGACAGUGCAAAAGUUUACAUGAUUCUUUAGGAGUUGGGACAACUUGGCGGUCCUCUCUUUGUAAUGUUGAUUCGCGAUUUUGGUACCUCUCUCUGUAACUUCAGAUUUACUCCGUGGUUUUGCACACAACUUCUGGAAUAACUCUUCCCUUCCCAAGGAUUUAGGAAUUUUGGACAACUUGGUUAGGUUAUGUUAAUUUUACUUCAUUGUUUCUCUGUUGAUUCUUGUUGUUUACUCUCUCGAUCUACAGGUGAGAAAUUAAUGAAUGUGCAACUAUGGCGGUGAUUAUAAUUGGUUGGGGGUUUGGUUUAAUACUACUUAUUAAGCAUCUUUCAUGGUGUAUAUUUUCUUACAAUUGCUUUAAUACUAUUUUUUUUCAAGUUUAUUUCAUUCUUGAGAAUCUGUGUAUAUUUGUCAAGACCCAAUACUAACUCAUAUUUAGUCUGCUAAGCCUAGCCUUUACACUUUGUUAACUUUUCCUCUCUGCUGGGAUUAAUUUGGCAAUGCAAAUUUAGUUUUGAACAUUUCUGCUGGGAUUAUUCUUUGCAAGUUUGGGCGAGAUUAUCAGAUAAUGGCGAUUCAUCAUUGGGAUGUAAUGGCGAUUAUCAAAUUUCUUCGAUGAGUAAUUCUUUAUUAUUUUUACUUUUGAGCUUUGAAUGUAAGACAAAAAUUGAAUGUUGUGUACCUGUUCUUAUGCAGUGUGGUUUUGUCAAAAUAAUGAUGUUCUUUCAUCAUAGCAAUGGAGCCUCAAGUUUUUGUUUGCACAUCUCAUUCAAAAGCAUAUUUUGUUGAUAUUUUAUUUCAUCUGGUGUUAUCAUUUUCUUUCUCUUGUUUGAUCUUCCGAUUUUGUAUUCUGGUUCUUUUUUCUGGUCAUUUGAUUUUGAGGUUUGAUUUGGUUCUGGGUUUGAUACAUGUUAAUUGAAAAAUGACAUUGUUUUCUGCAGUGCAACGUGUUUUGGAACAAUAAUAUUUGAGUAGUGUCAAGCCUCAGGUUUAUGUUGGAACCUCUACUUGUAAUGUGAAAUAUUUUCAUUUUAUUUUUUAUCUGUUGAUUCUUAUUGUCUAGUCUUCUGGAUUUUCUCCUUGAUGAUUUAACCAUUAAUACUUAUUUUUUGUUUUGAAUGUUCACAUACUUCCUGUUCAGCCUAUAAUAAUGUGUGGCUUCUGGGAUCCAGUGGCAGGAAGAGGUUCACAUACUUUCUGCUCAGCCUUGGGAUAGUGUUGGAGCAUGAGUGUGAAGCAUUUAAGAUUCCAGAGUAAAUCUCUUUGCCAUUCCCAAGGAUGAGGAAUUCUUGACAAGCUUGGUUUGGCACUUUUCUUUCCUGUUGAUUUGCUACUUCCUUUGUUAUAAUUUAUUGUUCAUAUCAACUUUCAACUGCCAUGCUUAAUGUUGCUUCCUUUUUUUGUUAAAUAAGUUAAUGAUGGUUCCAACCAGUGCAAUUGGUAUUGUAAUUACCUCAUUGUAAUUACCUCAAGGUAAUUACAAUACCAAUUGCACAUUAAUAAGAAUCAACCAGUGUUAAAUAAGUUAUUUUUUAUCUGUUGCUUCCUUUUUUAAUGUUGCUUCCUUUUUAUCUGGUUGGAAUAAUGUUGCUUCCUUUUUUCAAUUUGUAUUGUAAUUACCUCAUUGGAGUCAAUCAAGUUAGCAAUCCUUGCAAGCUCCUCAAUGAUCCGCUGGUUUACUCCAACCAGUGCAUUAUUUUCCAAUAUGAUUUUAUAUCGUACUAUAUACAAAAGGAUUUGGUAGAUAGGUAAACAGAGAGAGAGAGUGAUUGAUUGUAAAAUUGAUAUAUUAUACAAAAGGGUUAUAGUGUUCCAUUUUUCAUUUUGAAAUACUCAAGACAACACUAAAUCUUUAUGUUUUCCAUUUUUCGCUUUUAUUUUCAGAUUUUUUCCUUGAGGAAGUUUUCAACGACACUUUUGACAUAUGAUGAGACAUCUCAUUUAUUUUUUAAUGAAUGCAACGAAAUGUACUAAGUGAAUGUUUACUGUUGUUAUUGUUGGUGAGACCAGAGGAGUGUCGGGAGCAGCAGACUCUGAUACAUCUCCAUCAAAAGCAACGAGAGUAACAACGGGACAGCGUCGAAAGCAACAAUGAGCCGCAUCUCUAUCAAAACCUUAAAGCAUUAGGGGUACAUGGAUUUGGUGGUAACAGGGUUACAUGGAUUUGGUGUAUGUCCUUUCUCAAAUGUACUGCAACAUGUUAAUUUCGCUGACCGAAGUGGAGAAAUUGGAGAUGAGUGCUUCUGCAGUAUGUUAUAUAUUUUUAACUGUUGCUUAGCCUAAUUGGGCAUGAUUAUCAUUAUUCAUCAUUGCCAUUGGGAUAUAAUUGGUCUUUUUUUGAUAUGUUUAUGUAUUUGUUUUCGAAGAAUUGUUCUUAGCUUGUGGACAGGUUGGUGUGUUGAAGUUUGUGUUUCUUCUGGUGUUGGAGUUUGUGUGUUUCAGAAUUCGGAACCUGCUCUUCCCAAGAUGAAGAAUUUUGGACGACUUGGUUACAUCGGAGGUGUUGUUUACUCGUUAGGAGAGUGGUCCGGGACUCCUGUGUUAGGAGGAAGCCAAAGUCACACAUAAUCUGCAGGCUUUAAUUUGGUUAUCUCUUCGAAGACACCUAAUAAGAUACCCUCUUCAUUAGAGUGGCCAUAGGACUCCUCAGUAUUAGGUGGAAGCCAAAAUUGUAUUAUUUAAUAGGGCUACAUGAUCUUGCAAAUUGGAUGGAAAUUUGGGGAGAGAGCCUAUAAAUAUGUGCUUCACUAUGGAACCCGUGGCAGACGGAGGUUCACUGUUUCUUUUUUUUACUUGUUACUUUGGUCUCCUGAUGUUGAGGUUAUUUUCAAAACAGAGAAAUAAAACUAAAAAAGUUAGCAAUCCUUGCAAGCCCCUCAAUGAUCUGCUUGUUUACUCCAAACAGUGCAUUAUUGUCCAAUAUGAUUUUACAUCCUACUACAAAGGAUUUGGUAGAAAGGUGAAUGGGCAAUUGCUUAACUUGAGAGGAAUGCAAGUUCCUUGCAAUUCUGAUCACCGAAUUGGGUUACAUUGAUUUGGUUUAUUUCACAAGUGUCCUUUCUCAAAUCUGCAAAAUGUUAAUUUUUAUGUCCGAAGUGAAGAAAUUGGAGAUGAGUACCUCUGCGAUACAUUUUUCGGGAUAGUGUUGGGGCAUGAGUGUGAAGCAUUUAAGAUUCCAGAGUAAUGCUCUUUGCCAUCCCCAAGGAUGAGGAAUUCUUGACAAGCUUGCGAGUUGAAGUCUUUGGAUAUGUAGAACAAAUUACGAUUCUUGAUUAAAUUAAAUGGUUGAGAACGGAGAACACAUCCAGAUAAAUCAAAUUUCUUCAAUUUCUUCAAUGACGGGCUAAGAAGUUUCGAUAUCUAGAAUGUGUUGAUAAAAUGGACAAGAACAUGUAGCCAAGAGUUUUAAUUUGGUGAUCUCUGCGGGCUAAGAAGUUUCGAUGUCUAGAAUGACUUGAUAAAAUGGACAACAAUGAAGAAAGAUUCAAUAUAGAUAAAUCAAAUUUCUUCAUGUUCUGUAUUCUUAUUCUUUUCUGCUUGAUAAUUUGGUAUUUUGGUUGUGCUUGGUUUCAUUCUUGGAGUUGCUGGUUUUAUUGUUUGAUUUAAUUAAUAUUAUUAUCAAGUUCAUUUUGGUUUUAAUAGACUUGUUCUUCCAAUUCCUCUUAUUUUUCAGAUAUUAUUCUUCGAGUACAAAUGGGUGUUUUGCUUUUAAUCUGUUGGCAACACGCUGGAGUUCUGAUUUGAAUUUUUCCUUUUUACGAAGCUUGAUGCAUGAUUAUCACCCUCUGGUUGAAGUUUUUGUGAAGCUUACUGCAGGGUAUUGUGUUUUGACAUCAUUAGAUAUAUUUUGGUAAACUUUUCAAUUCCUCUAUUCUCUUUGGACUCAAGCCUUGGUCUGUUUUCUUAUAUUGGGACUCAAUUCCUCUAUUCUCUCUUUGUAACUAUGAUAUUCUGAUCAGCGACUUGGUUUGGAGAAUUAUGCUACUAUUAUUUCUUUAUUCUUGGUUUUUUUACAACUACUUGUAAUAGUGUAAUUUUGUUGUACAUAUCUGAUGUUCACAGGGUUACAUGGAUUUAUUGCAUUUCA